AGCGGGGCAGGCGGUGCGCGAUGGGGUCUCGCCGCCCGCGGGCCUGACCUGCCGGCCCGGCAUGGCGGGCAUCAUCAAGAAGCAGAUCCUGAAGCACCUCUCCCGGUUCACCAAGAAUCUCUCCCCGGACAAAAUCAACCUGAGCACAUUGAAAGGUCAGGGGCAGCUGACCAACCUGGAGCUGGAUGAGGAGGUGCUGCAGAAUGUGCUGGAACUGCCCACCUGGCUCGCCAUCACUCGUGUCUACUGCAACAAGGCCUCGAUCAGGAUCCAGUGGACAAAGCUGAAAACACACCCGAUCUGCCUGUACCUGGACAAGGUGGAGGUGGAGAUGAGGACGUGCGAGGAGCCUCGACCGCCCAAUGGACAGUCCCCCAUUGCUCUGGCUGCCGGCCAAAGUGAAUAUGGCUUUGCUGAGAAGGUUGUGGAGGGGAUGUUUAUUGUUGUCAAUUCCAUCACCAUCAAGAUUCACUCUAAGGCCUUUCACGCUUCUUUUGAGCUCUGGCAGCUCCAAGGCUACAGUGUCAACCCCAACUGGCAGCAGAGUGACCUGCGCCUCACCCGCAUCACCGACCCACAGAGGGGAGAGGUUCUGACAUUCAAAGAGCUCACCUGGCAGACACUGAGGAUAGAAGCAGAUGCCACGGACAAUGGUGAUCAGGAUCCUGUCACUACUCCUCUGAGACUCAUCACCAACCAGGGGAGGAUCCAGAUCUCUCUCAAGAGAAGGACCAAAGAUUGCAAUGUGGUGGCCUCCAAGCUGAUGUUUCUCCUGGAUGACCUGCUGUGGGUGCUGACGGACUCCCAGCUGAAGGCAAUGAUGAAAUACGCCGAGUCUCUGAGCGAGGCCAUGGAGAAAUCUGCUCAGCAGAGGAAAAGCUUGGCUCCAGAGUCUGUACAGGUCACCCCACCCGCUCCCAGUGCCCAGCAGUCCUGGGCCCAGCCCUUUGGGACCAGCCCCAGCCCCAGCAGCAUCGGGCAGUACUUUGACAAGCACGACAUGAAGGAGUCCUCGUACCACCUGCUCAUCUCCCGCCUGGACCUGCACAUCUGCGACGACAGCCACGCCCGGGAGGCAGGUGCUCUGAAGCAUGGGAUGCUGGGAGGUGCCAUCCAGCUGACCUUCAGGAGGAUGGCUUUUGACUAUUAUCCUUUCCACAGGGCAGGAGAUGCCUGCAAGCAUUGGGUGAGGUACAGUGAAGCAAUGGAAACACGGGGACAGUGGGCAAGGAAGUUGGUCAGUGAAUUUCAAAGCAAGAUUGAGAAGCUUUAUGAAGAAAUGGACCCUGCCUUUGCCAGGACUCCCCUUUCCCCCUUCAAAAAGAAACCAGACGCCCCACAGAGCCCCCACAGGAGCCCCCCGGAGAAAGGCCGAGCCCCUCCCACGAGUCUGCCCCGGCUCCGGCACCCGCCCUGGCACCGGCUCCGCUCCAGCUGCGUCGUGGUGCGCGUGGACGACCUGGAUGUGCACCAGGUUUCUACAGCUGGGCAACAAAGUAAGAAACCCUCCACCCUGGUUUCAUGUAGUAGAAAAUUCUUCAAACUCCCUGACCAGGUGUCUGCAAUCCAUAUUGAAUUCACAGAGUAUUACUUCCCAGACAAUCAGGACUUUCCAGUUCCAUGCCCAAACCUGUAUGUGCAGCUGAACGGCCUGAUUCUCACCCUGGACACAGCAAGUGUGCUCUGGAUCAACCUCUUCUGCCUGGAUCUCUAUCGCAGCUUGGAGCAGUUCAAAGCCAUCUACAAGCUGGAGGACUCAGGCAAGCGUGACGAGCACGUUGAUGUCCGACUGGACGGCUUCCGCCUGAAGCUCAACAUCCCGGUGGAUAAGAAGGUCACGGACCAUCGGGAUCGCCCGCAGAGCCUCUGCAUCGGCACGUCGGAGGUGACGGCCACCAACACCCGGCACGCCCCGUCCUGCGGCUGCCAGGACCUGCAGAGCCUCUUCCGCAAAUUCGCGGGCUCCGAGUUCUUCCACGCCAGCUACACCGAGUUCCCCCGGUGCCAGGGCAGCUUCAGCCUCCUGCACACCCUCUUCCUGCGCCAUGCCUACCACGUGGAUGACAGGCCUCGGAAGCAGCCAGGCCUGCCCCAGCUGCUGCACAAGCCCUCUGCCUCUGAAGAUCUGUGGUCUCUGAAUUUCACUGAGCUUUCCCUGGGCUUCGAGGGGGCUGAAAGCUCCAAGGGCAGAGCCCUGAGCUUUAUUGACCCAUUUCCCCUUUCCAUUUGGGCCUGCCUGCCCAAGAGGUGGAGGCAAGCUCAGAUAUCUAAACGACAGGAACUGGCUGCCUCUGAGGUGAAAAUCAAGCCUUCUGCCAGCUUUAACAACCACUCAAAGAACGAGAACCUUCCCAGAGAACACGGCAUUUGUCAAAGAUCAAAGACUGACCAGGAUCUGAAGAACAUCUACAAGGCCCCAGAAACAAUGGAUGUCUUGGGAGAAUCUGACUGUGAAGUUGAUGAUGGAGUAGACAGUGAAGAGCUGGAAGCCUCUGCUGAUAUCCACGUGCUCAUGUCCUCAUCUGUUCAUGUCAAAGUUCGGCUCAACCACUACCAGUACUUGGUGCUGCUCAGGAUGAAGGAGGUCCUGCAAACGCUACAGGAGCAGCUGGCCCAAGAUACCCAGGAAGUGACUGGGUGUCCUUUAGAUCCCAUGUCUGCUUGUGUGGGAGUUAUGUUCCACAGUGCUGAAGUGGCCCUGCUCAUGAACCCUGCUCCAGGGUCUGUCCUGGAAGCCAGAUCCCUUGACUCAGACACAACCAGCCUGAUCGAGUCCGAGCUCUCGCCUUCAGACAGCAAGGAGGGGCUGGUGGCCGAAGAGAAGGAGCUGAAAUCAGAGAGCAGCUCAGAGAAGGGAGUGUGCAGCAGCUCGGAGCUUCCAGAGGACAGUGGGGUCGGGAAUACCAGUGCCAGUGUCCUGCCAGAGUCACUCCCGAGGUCUGCGAGUGACGGAGCUCUGAGUGCAGCUCCACGUGGUAAGGGCACAGAGGAGAAGGGCUUGAUAGAGGAAGCACAUGAAGCUGUGGAAGCCCUGGUUGCAGAAAGACCAGCAGAGACCAGCAGCCAACCUCAGAGCCCCCCUGCUCUCCCUUCCAGCCCGACCUUGGACGCGCAGCCCUCGGGCAGCGGAGGCGUCGCCCUCGAUGUCCAGGCAGAGCUCAUCCCCCUGAGGAACAUCGAGGUGGAGCUCUCCAGUGCUCUGCACAUCACCAAGGAUGCCACGAAGGAGGCUCUGCAUGUGACAAUGGACCUCACCAAGGAGGCCAUGUCCCUCACCAAGGACGCCCUGAGCCUGAGCCGGGACAGGAUGACCUCCACCAUGCAGAGGAUGCUCUCCCUGCCCCCAGCCAGGGAUUCUGUGCCCAAAGCAGAGGAGGGUGCAGUGACCCCAGGCGGGGGUCGGAUGCGUUUCUUCUCCAUGAGGAGAACCCCGUCCCAGCACUCCUUCGAUGCCACGUCCGUGGACGGGAGCGGCCCCGAGGACGGCCUGUCCGUGGACAGCGAUGGCAGCGACGGCUUCGUGAUGCUCACGGACUCUGAACCCAGCUUGGACCCUCUUCCCUCGAGGCAGCUUCCCCAGGCCCACGGUAACACAGGCAGCAGGACAAGCCUGGUGGCCGAGGAUGAGGGUGGAUUGUCCCCUGAGGUGAACAGCUCCACAUCCCAGAGUGAAGACCCCAGCCUGCAGCUGGUGUCUGUCCUCGUGUUGAAGAUGAAUGAGGUGAACUGUGGCAUAGAGGCACGAGGGGAUGAUUUGUCUGUGGCUGUACAAGUGAUGAACGUGGUUCCAGAGCAGCUGAACAACGUGGGGAUGUGGCAGUAUCUGCGUGGCUACGUGGCUGCAGGAGCCCCGGGUGUGGAGGAGCCUGCAGACCCCGUGCCCAGCCCGGCCCAGCCUGAGCUGUGCCUGCGCCUGGAGGGGGGUCCCUCUGCCAUCGCCCACUCCCCGCUGGCCGAGCGCAACGGCUUCCUGCGGGUGCUGCUGCGGGGCUGCGACACACAGCUCUGCAUGUCCUCCCUCACCGGCCUGGGCCCCUUCCUCGAGGAUGAGAUCCUUCCAGAGGUGAUCCCCAUGGAGAUAGAGGUGGUGGAUGCCAAAAUCACGAUGCAGGAUGACAGCCCCCGGGUGUAUCCCACCUCCCCUGGCCCUGUCCCCAUCACCCUGGCCGUGGAUCACGUUGUCGUGAGGCGCAAGGAUGACGGUGUGUUCUAUCUCACAGCUCCCCAGGGGAAGGACUCACUGAAAGAGGAAAAACCUGUGUCAGUUCCUGAGGGGCAAAAGGCCCCAGCAGAGCCUGUCUUGGCAGGCCCAGCAGCAGGAGCACAUGGGCUGCAGCUAAAGCAGGUGCCAGAGUUGCAAAGGGAGCUGCAGACCAUGAAACUGGCCCUUGCAGAAGCCAACAUGGACAAGGCUCAUCUUCUGCAGGAGAUCAGGAAAUACAACCCCCUGUUCCAGCUCUGACAGUGCCAGCACUGCCAGGGAGUGGGGACCAGCACCAGCACCGCCAGGGCAGGUGCUGUUGGAACACACCCCUGUGAACUGCCCAGAGCCCACGAGCAGAAGUUGGACUCUGCUUUGCCAAACCUUUGUGCUGCUCCUUCUCCCCUGGGGAGCAGGAGCUCCAAGACUGCUUGCCUGAGGUGGAAUGCAAUGGUAUUCCUGCUUUUUCUUUUCUAAUUGCUUGAAAAUGGGAGGUUUCUCUUCUGCUUUUUCAAAUUUUCAGGAUGUUUUGUUUGAGUGGGGAAUGAGUGGGGUGCAAAGGGUUUGUUCUGCCUUGGUGCCCACCUGCAGGGUCCCACAGCUCCUACCAUGUGUGCAGGCUGAGCACAGCUGGGGCCAAAUUGUUUACAGCAAAUUUCUUGCUCCAGCAACUCAAGUCAAUGGGUUUUAUUGAAGAAUUCAAGCAUUUGCUUUGCUCUGAAGUCCCAGUAAAAAGGACUGUAACCCAAAACCCACAGGCAUGGGAGGACAAAACCUGCAGGAUCUCCAUGGAUCACAAGUAGCAAAGUUUACGUUGUGGAGCCCCUUAUUUAAGGACUCAUCCUCUGUUCUGGUGGGAGCCCAUGGAAUCCUGCCCACCACAGGUGCUGUGGGAGAGCCCGUGGCCUCAGCACCUCCCUGGGGCAGGAGCAGCCCCCAGGGCGAAUGUGCAAGUCUGAACUUGAAUUUGAGUUUUAGCCAGUAUUGGAACUUUUUUGCAGUUUGUUUCCACUGCUGCAUUUAUUGGUUCUAUGAACCAGGAGCAAAAUUAAACUCCUUAACCUCC